rnacentral:rRNA from 1 species
GGCAUAUUGCACAAUGGGCGCAAGCCUGAUGCAGCGACGCCGCGUGGGUGAAGAAGGAUUUCGGUCUGUAAAGCCCUUUUCUGUGUGACGAGAAUGGACGGUAGCACAGGAAUACGUCUCGGCUAACUACGUGCCAGCAGCCGCGGUAAAACGUAGUAGGCAAGCGUUAUCCGGAGUAACUGGGCGUAAAGGGAGAGUAGGUGGUUGCGUAAGUUGGUUAUGAAAGCUCCUGGCUAAACUGGGAGAGGUUGACCAAGACUGCGCGACUUGAGUGGAGAAGAGGUAAACGGAAUUCCGCGUGUAGUGGUGAAAUGCGUAGAGAUGCGGAAGAACACCAGUGGCGAAGGCGGUUUACUGGUCUCCAACUGACACUGAACCGCGAAAGCAUGGGUAGCGAA